GAUGAACGCUGGCGGCGUGCCUAAUACAUGCAAGUCGAGCGAACGGACGAGAAGCUUGCUUCUCUGAUGUUAGCGGCGGACGGGUGAGUAACACGUGGAUAACCUACCUAUAAGACUGGGAUAACUUCGGGAAACCGUAGCUAAUACCGGAUAAUAUUUUGAACCGCAUGGUUCAAAAGUGAAAGACGGUCUUGCUGUCACUUAUAGAUGGAUCCGCGCUGCAUUAGCUAGUUGGUAAGGUAACGGCUUACCAAGGCAACGAUGCAUAGCCGACCGGAGAGGGUGAUCCGCCACACUGGAACUGAGACACGGUCCAGACUCCUACGGGAGGCAGCAGUGGGGAAUCUUCCGCAAUGGGCGAAAGCCUGACGGAGCAACGCCGCGUGAGUGAUGAAGGUCUUCGGAUCGUAAAACUCUGUUAUUAGGGAAGAACAUAUGUGUAAGUAACUGUGCACAUCUUGACGGUACCUGAUCAGAAAGCCACGGCUAACUACGUG
rnacentral:rRNA from 1 species